GUGCCACCAGGCCUUACACCAAGAGAGCCAUUCCAGAGAAAAGUCCUUUUUCUCCUGAGAACAGUGCCAGCAGCUGGCUUCGUGACAUUCUGGAAGCCCCGUGCAAUGCUGUCAGGAGCAUAGGGAUUUUACUUUAUCUCCCUUGCUUAUGCUCCACAUAACUGAAAUAUCUCACUGGAAGCUGCAGCAGUGCUGGCCCCUUGCACAGCCAUAUGUGACCACUGCAGAACAAUCAGUUGGAGAGACAGUUUGGACUACAUGGAGGGUGGAGAUAAGGACAAAGUGAAGAAUACACAGGAACCAGUGCCUCCUCCUGGAACUAUGCAACUCCAAGCUGCUUCCAUCAGCUGCUAGGUCCAGUAGGGAGGGACCUACUGAGAGGUACUCAGACCCAGAACAUACUGUUUUCACUCCAAGAGUCUGAAUGUCUCUUUUCUGAGAAAGAUGAAGAAAAAGUACUUUUUUCAUGAAUUUAAUACUCAUUAAAGUCAAUAGUCGGAAAGCCUGGCUAAUUAGCAGACUUCUUCAGAGGACUUUAAAUAAUAUAGUUACUGUAUUUUUAUUAUAUUGAAAUCUCCAAAUAUAUAAAGUUAGAAUCUUCAAGGUGGGAGGAAGAGGAGAAAUUGGAUUUCUCUAAGCUCCCUAGUGAUUCUGAUGAUGACUCAUUUGGGGAAGUGCAGCAUUGAAUGGCCCUUCUAAAAUGAGGACAGCUAUUUUUUGGACUAAGCACCCCUCCCGACUCUCCCCAUUCCUCAUCCUCUCAGAGACUUCUCUCUCUCAGAUUGCCCCAUCUGUCUCAUGUAUUAUAAUCACUUCCCCUCUACUGGUUUCUUCUCAUACGUUUAACUUGUUCAAGUGCCUUCCAUCUUUAAAAACAGUCAAGGCACAGCCCUUGAUUUAACCAUAGGAAGCCCGCUCCCCACCACCCUGCCAUCAGCUCUCUUCUUCCUGUGUAGUGAGCACUGCUUCUUUGAGCUUCUGAAAGCUGUAGUCACUGCCUCUUGCUGGUAACUGAAAGCACAUUUCUAAGUUCGCAUAUUCCCUGACUUCUUGACAGCACUCAUGACUCGCCAUCUCCUUUUCUGGAACACUGUUUGCUUGGCUUUCACAAUAUCAUGCUUUUCUAGUUCUUUUUCCUGUUUUGGACACUGCUUUACAGAGAAUUAACAUUCCUCUUUUUCCCGCUGACCCUGAAUCAAGAAAGAAUCAUGUUUCUUUCUUUAUUUUUUAUAUCUUAACUUUUGAGGGGUAGAUUUUCAAGCAUACAUAAAAGUGAAGAGAACAGGAUAAUGAACUAGGUGUACACAUGACUGCAUCUUAUCAGUGCAAUACACACUCAUAUUACUUUUUCUAUACUUCAUCCAUUUUCUCCCUGCUCCCUGACUUGGAUCAAAUCCCAGACAUUACAUUAUUUAACCUGCAAAUAUUUCAUCAUAUAUAUGUGGGAAUAUAUAGAUCUCUAUCACUAUAUAUAGUGAGAAUUUCUUUCAAAGAAAAGAUAAUCACAAUAUUAUAAUCUCAUCAAAUGUAGUUGUUAUAAUUCCUUAAUGUCAGUCUAAUAACAAUCCUGUUUUCACAAUUUCUUCUCUUGUAGAUUUUUAAAAAUUAAUUUUGUUGAAUUGAAAUCUAAAUAAGAUACAGAGAUAAAGAUUCAUUGACAUGUCCCUUAAGUAUUUUAGUUUAUAGGCUGUCCUACUAUAUUCCCUGCCUCUUCUUGCAUUUUAUCUUGAUUCAGUUGAAAACUCUGGGUCAUUUGUCUUAUAAAGUUCAUGGGGUCUGCAAUUUGGUGAAGGUGUCCUUUUGGCAUUAUUUAACAUGCGUCUCUGUUCCUUGUAUUUUCUAGAAAUUAUUGGUUAUAUCUAGAGGUUUGAUCAGAUUUAGGUGAAAUUAUAAAAAGAUUCCGUCAUAGGUGAUUUUGUGAAGUUCCAUCAGAAGGUACCCAUCUGGUUUUCUCUCCUUUUGUGAUGCUAGCAGCCACUGAAUAUGGUAAUCUACUCCAAUCAUUAACUAAAUUUCUUUUCUGGAAUUAUUCCAAAAGAGAAACUUUUUUCAUCAUGCAUUUGGUUGUCCUGAGGUAUGAUUGUAUAGGAAAAACAGGAUAACCUACUGAUACUUUCUGUUUAAACUAGUAUUCAAAAUAAUAAAAGUAGUCCCCUAGUAUUAUCUAAAGAUUUCAAAAGACUUUUAAAAAAAUUAUUGAUGAUUUUAUGAGCUCAGGGAUUAAACAUAGUCAAUCUGUUUCAAUCCCUUGCAGUUAUUCCAAUUAAUAAUCAAAUUUUCCUGCCUUUGGCUUGCGGCAGCGUAUUCAUGUUGAAUUCUGGGUCACUUUGACAUGACUCCAGUUGUCUUUGAUGGUAUCCUUUUUGUGACAAAAUGUCCCAGGAUUAUAAUUUCCUGUCCCAUACUGGGAAACAGCCAGUUCUCCAAAGAGCUCUGGAACCAUUCAGUGAGAAAUGUAUUUAGAUGCAACAUUCUGGGUGCUAAGCAUGCCCAUUAACCUGAUCAAUCUCACGUCUUUCCUUUCUUUCAGCAUUGCCAGAAAACUCAUUUCUCAGUGACACCAUUGUAAUUACUCAUUUGAUUAUCCCGCAAUACACAUAUAAGAGUCUCAGGAAAACAGUACCAUCAGCAUUAUAUGGUAAUAUCUACAAGCACUUUAAUAUUUUCUUAUUGGGGGUACACUUUUUUCCAUAGAGAAUAUUUUACUAGGUAAGAACAAUAAUAUUGAUAUGUUUUAAUUUUUCUUGAAGUGGUUCUUCUGUAUGAGGUUAUAUCACCAAGUAGAUAUACAGUUAUAAUGUUUGAUUAUUACACAUUGCUUUUCUUAAAAUUUAAUUUUGUUUUAAAGCUAUUAAAAUCAGGUUUCUUAAAGAAAGAUCCUCAUUCUAUCUGGAUCAAAAUCACUUUCAGAGCUAAUUAAAAAUGUGGUGUCCUGGACUCACGAAGCCAGAAUUGCUGAGGAGAUAGCCCGAGAAUCUGAAUUUUUAGCAGACAUUUUUUUAGGUACCUUACCCGCAGGAUCAUUUCUGUGAAUAUCCAUGAGGUGAAAAAGUCUGGGAAACACUGUCCUAGGGUGUGGGGAAGAGCGAGAAAAAGAUUUCCGCUCUGGAAGGUAAACAAAUACUCUCUGGAGAGAGAAGAGGAAUGUCCCUAGCAGAUGUCUCCAGAGAAGACAAGACUUUAAAUUCCGCCAGGGAAAUAUACAAUGUCUAACUUCUAAGGCACAUUUGCCAUUCAAUCAUGCUUUAACCCACGUUGCCAGAAAUUUUUGCUCACUAGGUUUUGACUGUACAGGAAUGUGAAAAUAUUCAUGAAGAGUUGUUUUCCAAUGCUAAAGAAUUGAUGUGUUUUAACAGUUGAAUUAAUUGUAUUGAUUAUGAUCACACCUACUUUUUAUAUAUCUUCAUUUCUAACGUUUCUGUACAAUCCUGCCUUUCCACCUGAUAUAGUUAGGCCUUGUGUCAUCAACCAAAUCUCAUCUUGAAUUGUAAUCGCCAUAAUCCCCACGUAUUUAGGGAGAGACCUGGAGGGAGGUGUUUGGAUCAUGGGGGCGGUUUCCCGCAUGCUGUUCUCAUGACCAUGAGAGUAAGUUCUCAAGAGAUCUGAUGGUUUUAUAAGCGUCUGUCAUUUCCACUGCUUGCACUUCUGUGUCCUGCCACCUUGUGAAGAAGGACGUGGUUGCUUCCCCUUCCACCAUGAUUGUGUUUCCUGAGGCCUCCCCAGCCUUGCAGAGCUGUGAGUCAAUUAAACCUCUUUCCUUUAUAAAUUACUCAGUCUCUGUAUUCCUCUGCAGCAGUGUGAGAACAGACUAAUACAUCACCACUUUAUUUACUUUACUCUCUCCCCAUACCGAGGUUUUCUACAUUUUCUUUCUAGGUCUCUACAGUUUCUGCAAAGAUCCUUUAUGGAACUCUUAGGGAAGCUGGGAUGUAUAAUAAAUAAAGGGCUCUUUUCUUUGAGUCCCACACCCAUUUUCUGUGUAUAAAAAUCUUCAACUCCACUUUUGUCUGUUCUAUUUAAAUGUGUGCACAUUUCCUUCUAAUGUUGUAUAUGAAAAAGAGACACCUCUUAGCAGUCUUUCAUAGAGCAAAAUUUUUUACUUUGAUAAAAUCUAAUUUAUCAAUAUUUUUAAAUUUUAUGGAUCAAUCAUGCUUUUGAGGUUGAAUUUAAGAAUGCUUUGCCUAGCCCUAGAUCCCAAGUAUCUUUUAAAAAUUAUUUUUCUAAAUGCAUUAUUUAUGUUUUACACUUAAGUCUAUAAUCCAUUUUGAGUCCAUGUGUAAGAUUUAGGUUAAGGUCAAGAUUUAUCUGUUUUUGUUGUUUUCUCUAUAAAUGUCAAUUGCUCCAGCACUAUUUGUUUAAAAGCCAAUCUUUCCUCCGCUGAGUUCUUCCUAUAAGUUUGUCAAAAGUCAAUUUGGCAUCUUUGUAUAAGUUUAUUUCUGGAUUCUCUAUUCUGUUUUAUUGAUCACUGCAUCUAUCCCUCUUGAUUAGCUAGAUAAUAAAUCCUACAAUAAGGUAGAAUUCUUCCCACUUUAUUCAUAUUCAAAAUAUUUUAAAGCUAUUCUAGUUUCUUUUUAUUUCCAUAUAUAUUUUAGGAUAAUCUUAUCUAUAUUUACAACAUAUGUUGCUAGGAUUUUGAUAGAAUUUGUUUUAAAUUUGUGUAUCAAUGUAGGGAAGACCUGACAUCUUUACUAUUACGUUGAUCUUCCAAUCAAUGAAUAUGGUAUAUCUCUCAGUUUAUAGCUAUUGUCUUUAAUUUAUUUCAUCAUGGUUUUUAGUUUUCAGCAGAGAAGCUUUAUACAUGUUUUGUUAUACAUGUAUAACAAAAGAAGCCUUAUACACUGACAUUUUAUAUUUUGAACAAUUGUAAAUGGUAUUGUUUAAAAAUUUUGUUGUCUAUGAUAGAAAUAAAAUUGAUUUUUGUAGGUUUAUCUUGUAACCUAUGACUUGCUGAGCUCGCUCAUUAGUUUUUUUAUUGUGAUAAAAUAUACAUGAGAUAAAUUUCAUCAUUAUAAUCAUUAAGUUUAGACAUCAAUUGCAUUAAGUACAUAAAUGCCUUAUGCAACCAUCAUCUCUAUCCAUCUCCAGACCCUUUGCAUCACCCUAAAAUGAAACUCUGUGCCCAUUAAACAAUAACUCCCCAUUCUGCCCUCACCCCAGCCCUUGGUAAUUACCAUCCUACCUUUUAUCUCUAUAAAUUUAACCAUCCCAGGUAACUCAUAUAAGUGGAAUCAUGCAGUGUUUGUCCUUUUGUAACUGGUUUAUUUCACUUAGCAUGAUGUCUUCAAGGUUUGCCUAUGUCAUAGCAUGUGUCAGAAUUUCAUCCCUUUUUAAACUUAAAUAAUAUUCCACUGUAGGCAUAUGCCACAUUUUGUUUAUUUGUUCAUCUGUUGAUGGGCAUUUGGGUUGUUUCCACCUUUUGGCUACUGUGAAUAAUGCUGCUGUGAUCAUGGGUAUGCAACUGUCUCCUGGAGUCCCUGCUAUCAAUUCUUGUGGGUAUAUACCCAGAAGUGGAAUUGUUGCAACAUAUAGUAAUUCUAUGUUUAAUUUUUUGAGGACCUGCCAUAAUGUUUUCCACAGUAGCUACAUUGUCUUAUAUUCCCAUUAAGAGUUCCAAUUUCCUCACAUCUUCACCAAUACUUAUUGUUUUCUGUUUUUUUAAAUAAUAGCCAUCAUAAUAAAAGUAACAUGGUAUCUCAUUGUGGUUUUAACUGCAUUUCCCUUUUUACUGGAUUGUUUGUAAUAUUGCUGUAAUUGAGUUGUAGGAGUUUUUAAAUAUGUUCUGAAUAAUUAAUUUCUUAUCAGAUAUGUCAUUUGCAAAUAUUUUCUGCCAUUCUCUGGGUUGUCAUUUCACUCUCUUGAUAGUGUCCUUUGAUGCACAGAAGUUUUGAAAUUUGAUAAAGUUUAAUUUGCGUAUGUAUUUAUUUUGUUGCUUAUGCUUUUGGUGUCAUAUCCAAGAAAUUAUUGCCAAAUUCAGUGUCAUGAAGAUUUUCCCCUGUGUUUUCCUCUAAGAGUAUUAUAGUUUUAACUCUUGCACUUAGAUUGAUCCGCUUUGAGUUAAUUUUAGUAUAUGGGGUAAGACAAGGGCUCAAAUUUGUUCUUUUGUUUGAAGAUUCUAGGUCAUUUGUGAUCUUUAGGAUUUUCUAUGUAGACAUUAAUGUCAUCUUCAAAUAUGAACAGUUUAUUUCUUCCUUUUGUAUAUGUAUGAAUUUACUUUCCUUUUCUUGCCUUAUUGCACUGGCUAGAGUUUUCAGUACUAUGAUGAAUAAAAUCAGUGAGAGCAGACACCCUUGCUUUGUUUCUAAUCUUAGGAGGAAAGCUUUCAGUCUUUCAUCAUUAGGUAUACUGUUAGUUGUAGGCUUAUUAUAGAUGCUCUUUAUCAGGUUGAGGCAGUUUCCUCCUUGGUUAAGACUUUCUAUUUUUCAUUUUCAGUUAUGACCAGGCAUGUUCAUAACUGCUCAUCAAAACUUUGAAUUAGUGGCUGCUUUAACAUCCUUCUCAGACAAUUCUAACAUCUGUUUUGUUGGUGGUGGCAUCUAUCAAUUGUCUUUUUCAUUCUGUUUGAGAUCUUCCUUGCGUUUGGUAUGAUUUUUUUAAAUAUUAUGUCAUGAAACUGCAUCUUAUUUAAAUCUUCUGUUUUAGUUGGCUAUGUCUGACAUCACUUCCCCAGGGGAAGGUGUUGUUACUGCUAGUGGAGGGUGAGAAUUAUGGCUCUCCACUGACAUUGUGGUGGGAUUGGUCCCAUUACCACUGGGCAGGGUUGAAAGUCCUGACUUUCUGCUAGGCCUUCUCUGACUUCAUCGCAGCAGGAGGAAAAGAUGCCUCUGGAGUUGAAGUCAGGUUGCACUGACACUGUGUGUGUAUGGAGGUAGGCUGGGGUGAAAGUGGAGACUCAUUACCACAUGGUGAGUAGUUUCCAGCUCUCUAUUUGGCCUUCUCUGAUACCACCCAGACAGGGACAUUGGGGAUACCUCAUUACAGCCUAGUGAGGGUCAAACUCUAGGCUCCCCACUCAGUCUUUGCUAUCAUGGACACUGUAGGACCAUAGUUUUUUCUGUGCUGUUUGCUUGAUGUGUCUUCCUUGGACCCUGAGUUCCAUAGCUGGUCUGCAUUCCUCUCUCCACCUUUAAGACGUCUUCUUAUGUUUAUUUCAUAUUUAACAUCCAGGGUGGUAAUUAGAGGGAAGAAUAGAGGGAAAAGUACAGUUGCACUUUGUUGUUCAAAGAGCAGUUUUGAACUGCACAGACCCAUUUCUCUGAGCACACCCAGGGAUGAUUGUACUUGUAUAAAAUUUUUUUCCUGGAUGCAGAAUUCUCAAUUGACUGUGAAAGUUCAUAACAAAGAAAACAGUGGGGAAGACAAAUCUGGAAAUGAGGAAAAUAAAAAUUAAAUAGUGAGACCACCCAUGGAGCUUGUGGCAAAGCCUGAAUUGAAUCCGCUGUAUCUUAAGAUUGUGCCUCAUUCUAAAUUUAAGUCACCCUUCUCAUUAUGAAAGUGUCACAACUUCUCAGUAGGUGAGGAGACAGUCUAAAUUUGAGAAAAGAAAGUUACAACAAAGGUUUUGAGCAAGCUGCUAAGUGGAUUUAUUCAUGUUUGAGAAAUCAAAUAUAUGGUUAAUGAGCUCUUUAACUAGAAGCCAACACUAGGGAGGAGUAGACAGAAGUCACGGGGAGGGAGCCCCCGGACAUUUCAAAAGACUUUGCCCUGCAACAUCUCCUCCACAUUUAAGCUUUUAGGUUAUUGUAGCCACAUCACAAGCAUGUUACCUACCCAGAUAUUGUCUGCGCAUCAUUCCCAAAAGCUUCCCUGGGUCUUCAUAAUAUUAAUGAGAUUCUCCCCCAGGUUAGACCCCUUUGGCUUGAGUCAGAAACAGAAUUAAUCCGGGGGACAAUCCAGCAGCACCCAUCUCUGGGUUGCAGAAAUAUCUGAGGUGACCAGGCAGUGUUUGGAGUCCCCUCAGUUAGCUAACAAAGUGAGUUCACAGCUUCCAAGACCCCAGGCUUUCCAGGCUAAUAAAGAGCUGAGGUUAUAGGCUCUCCUUAUCAAACGCUCUUUGGCAGCUGCCAUAACCAUUCCAAGUCUAGUCCUAGAAUAGAAAUGACGCGGUUUCAGGAGCUGACAGAUGGAACUUUAAGCCUUCCUUCCUGCCACAUCUGAAGUUCUUUUUUAAAAAAAUAGAAAACCAUGACAAUAAACACUCCUUGAAUGCCCUGUGGAAAAGUGUACUCCUCAGAAUUCACUAAAGUGGGGUGAAGCAGUGGGUUGUGGUGCUGAGAAAACAUCUCUUCCCCUCGGCAGUAUAUUGGAAUCUCAUAGAAACUUCUGUGGCUGGGAAGCAAACAUGCUCUCUGCCCCAUUGCUCUUAUUCAUCUUUAGACCUGAUAAUACAGUUUGAACUUCAAGUUGCACUUUAAAUGGCAUGCAUUUUUA
rnacentral:lncRNA from 1 species